UUUAUCGGAGAGUUUGAUCCUGGCUCAGGACGAACGCUGGCGGCGUGCCUAAUACAUGCAAGUCGAGCGGACAGAUGGGAGUUUGCUCCCUGAUGUUAGCGGCGGACGGGUGAGUAACACGUGGGUAACCUGCCUGUAAGACUGGGAUAACUCCGGGAAACCGGGGCUAAUACCGGAUGCUUGUUUGAACCGCAUGGUUCAAACAUAAA
rnacentral:rRNA from 1 species